AUUUCAAAUUUCUAUUCUAUCUUUCUCUCUCCACGUGGGCCCCACCCACACCCAAUCAGAAUUGAAUCCUCUCUCUCCCCCAUUCACUCCCUCACGCUCUCACUCUCUCAUUCUCCCUCAACUCUCGACUCUUUCUCUCUUUCUCUCCAAAAGCCCAUUUUCUUCUUCAGUUUUCUUCUCCUUCCUGCAACCCUAAACAACUCAACAUCACCUUCUUCUCCUCCCAUGGAAGCCGCCACCCAGGGCCAAGCCGCCACCACCGCGAGCCUCUUCCUCUCACGCGCAUGCUGCCACCUCCAUGUAUCCUUCACAGGAACGCGCCACCACCAUGGGCAACCACCGUCGCCUCUCCCCCUUUCGUUCUCUCUGGCCAGCCGCGAGCACCACCGCGCCUUCAUCACCAUCAAACGACCAUGAACGCCCCACCACAGCCACCACAGACGCGAAAAAUAAGGAAAAAAGGAAACCCUAAAACCGCCACCUUUCAACUCCGAUCUCUGGCGAACCACUGAGCUUUUGGAAAAAUCAACACCACCACGGAACUCCCCUCGACGUGCGCUUCAAAACCCCUAAAGAAAUUUCUGAUUCUGACCAUCUCCGCCGUGAACCACCACCAGCCGCCGCCAACCGCCGUCUUCUCCGGUGAGACCUUCGCCGGAGAAUUUCCAGAAUGUGGUCCAGUGUUUGAGGAGUUAAAGCUUGUGAGCCAUGCUUUAUCCUCAAGAAGGAGAUGGUAAACCCAUCUGAAUAUUUCUGCUGUAUUAUUGUUGCUAUCACGAGAUUAUAGUAGUUGCUGAUUUGUUAAAUAGUUAGGUUUAGUAAACGAAUUUGAAGAAGUAGUCUUCAUAAAAAUUGUAGCAUUUUCUGAGUAAACUUUUGCCACUGGUUUCAUGUCA